GACGAACGCUGGCGGCGCGCUUAACACAUGCAAGUCGAGCGAGAACCAGGGCUUCGGCCCUGGGGACAGCGGCGAGCGGGUGAAUAACACGUGGAUAACCUGCCCUCGGCACCGGGAUAGCCCGGGGAAACCCGGAUUAAUACCGGAUGGCCCUUCCGGCUCACGAGCCGGUCGGAACAGGUAGCUUCGGCCUCCGGCCGAGGAUGGGUCCGCGGCGGAUUAGCUUGUUGGUGGGGUAAUGGCCUACCAAGGCUCCGAUCCGUAGCUGGUCUGGGAGGACGAGCAGCCACACUGGGAAUGGGACACGGCCCAGACUGCCACGUGAGGCAGCAGUGGGGAAUCUGGCGCAAUGGGCGAAAGCCUGACGCAGCGACGCCGCGUGAGGGAGGAAGGCCUUCGGGUUGUAAACCUCUUUCAGGAGGGACGAAGCUACUCGGGUGAAUAGCCCAGAGGGUGACGGUACCUCCAGAAGAAGCCCCGGCUAACUACGUGCCAGCCGCCGCCGUAAAAC
rnacentral:rRNA from 1 species